rnacentral:rRNA from 1 species
UACAGAGGUCUCAAGCGUUGUUCGGAUUCAUUGGGCGUAAAGGGUGUGUAGGUGGCGCGCUAAGUCGGGUGUGAAAUUUCGGAGCUUAACUCCGAAACUGCAUUCGAUACUGGCGUGCUUGAGGACUGGAGAGGAGACUGGAAUUCCUGGUGUAGCGGUGAAAUGCGCAGAUAUCAGGAGGAACACCAAUUGCGAAGGCAGCUCGCUGGGACGUUACUGACGCUGAGACGCGAAAGCGUGGGGAGCAAACAGG